rnacentral:rRNA from 1 species
CCCUUAGAUGUUCUGGGCCGCACGCGCGCUACACUGAUGCAUUCAACGAGCCUAUCCUUGACCGACAGGUCCGGGUAAUCUUUGAAUCUGCAUCGUGACGGGGAUAGAUUAUUGCAAUUAUUAAUCUUCAACGAGGAAUGCCUAGUAGGCGCAAGUCAUCAGCUUGCGUCGAUUACGUCCCUGCCCUUUGUACCCACCGCCCGUCGCUCCUACCGAUUGGGUGUGCUGGUGAAAUGUUCGGAUCGGCCGUUUGUCGCGGUUUCCGCGUCAUGUGGCUGAGAAGUUCAUUAAACCCUCCCACCUAGAGGAAGGAGAAGUCGUAACA